rnacentral:tRNA from 1 species
UCUCUGGUGGCCGAGACUAUAGGCGGUAGACUGUAGAUCUACCUACGGGACCAAUUCUCUCAGAGAA